GACGAACGCUGGCGGCGUGCUUAACACAUGCAAGUCGAGCGGUAAGGCCCUUUCGGGGGUACACGAGCGGCGAACGGGUGAGUAACACGUGGGUGACCUGCCCUCAGCUCUGGGAUAAGCCCGGGAAACUGGGUCUAAUACCGGAUAUGACUCCAUGACGCAUGUUGUGGGGUGGAAAGCCUUGUGCGGCUGAGGAUGGGCCCGCGGCCUAUCAGCUUGUUGGUGGGGUGAUGGCCUACCAAGGCGACGACGGGUAGCUGGCCUGAGAGGGCGACCGGCCACACUGGGACUGAGACACGGCCCAGACUCCUACGGGAGGCAGCAGUGGGGAAUCUUGCGCAAUGGGCGAAAGCCUGACGCAGCGACGCCGCGUGAGGGAUGACGGCCUGGUGUAACU
rnacentral:rRNA from 1 species